GGCGGGCAGUGGCGCGGUGGUACGCACGGACAAGGGCGCCGUGCGCGGAACGGUGGGCGAGCAGGUGCGGACGUUCGGGAACAUCCCGUUCGCCGC
rnacentral:tRNA from 1 species